UACGGAGGGUGCAAGCGUUAUCCGGAUUCACUGGGUUUAAAGGGAGCGUAGGCGGGUUUCUAAGUCAGGUGUUUAAUCCCGGGGCCCAACCCCGGACAGGCACUUGAGACUGGGAAUCUUGAAUAGUGGAGAGGUCAGUGGAAUUGGGGGUGUAGCGGUGGAAUGCGUAGAGAUCCCCAAGAACACCAGUUGCGAAGGCGGCUGACUGGACACAUAUUGACGCUGAGGCUCGAAAGCAUGGGGAGCAAACAGG
rnacentral:rRNA from 1 species